rnacentral:rRNA from 1 species
CCUACGGGGGGCUGCAGUGGGGAAUAUUGGACAAUGGGGGCAACCCUGAUCCAGCCAUGCCGCGUGUGUGAAGAAGGCCCUCGGGUUGUAAAGCACUUUCAGUGAGGAAGAACGCCUGGUGGUUAAUACCCAUCAGGAAAGACAUCACUCACAGAAGAAGCACCGGCUAACUCCGUGCCAGCAGCCGCGGUAAUACGGAGGGUGCGAGCGUUAAUCGGAAUUACUGGGCGUAAAGCGCGCGUAGGUGGCUUGAUAAGCCGGUUGUGAAAGCCCCGGGCUCAACCUGGGAACGGCAUCCGGAACUGUCAAGCUAGAGUGUAGGAGAGGAAGGUAGAAUUCCCGGUGUAGCGGUGAAAUGCGUAGAGAUCGGGAGGAAUACCAGUGGCGAAGGCGGCCUUCUGGACUGACACUGACACUGAGGUGCGAAAGCGUGGGUAGCAAACAGGAUUAGAUACCCGGUAGUC